AUUGAACGCUGGCGGCAUGCUUUACACAUGCAAGUCGGACGGCAGCACAGAGAAGCUUGCUUCUUGGGUGGCGAGUGGCGAACGGGUGAGUAACAUAUCGGAACGUACCGAGCAGUGGGGGAUAACUAAUCGAAAGAUUAGCUAAUACCGCAUAUAUUCUGAGGAAGAAAGCAGGGGACCAUUUGGCCUUGCGCUGUUUGAGCGCCGAUAUCUGAUUAGCUGGUUGGUGGGGUAAAGGCCUACCAAGGCGACGAUCAGUAGCGGGUCUGAGAGGAUGACCGCCACACUGGGACUGAGACACGGCCCAGACUCCUACGGGAGGCAGCAGUGGGGAAUUUUGGACAAUGGGCGCAAGCCUGAUCCAGCCAUGCCGCGUGUCUGAAGAAGGCCUUCGGGUUGUAAAGGACUUUGUCCAGGGAAGAAAAGGGCGGGGCUAAUACCCCUGUCUGAUGACGUACUGAAGAAUA
rnacentral:rRNA from 1 species